rnacentral:rRNA from 1 species
CCCGCAACGAGCGCAACCCCUAUCUUUAAUUGCCAUCAUUCAGUUGGGCACUUUAGAGAGACUGCCGGUGUUAAGCCGGAGGAAGGUGGGGAUGACGUCAAGUCCUCAUGGCCUUUAUGUCUAGGGCUACACACGUGCUACAAUGGGUGGUACAAAGAGCAGCUAACUCGCGAGAGUAUGCAAAUCUCAAAAAGCCAUCCUCAGUUCGGAUUGGAGUCUGCAACUCGACUCCAUGAAGUUGGAAUCGCUAGUAAUCGCGGAUCAGCAUGCCGCGGUGAAUACGUUCCCGGGCCUU